rnacentral:ncRNA from 2 species
UGAUGCAAGUGUCAAAAGUAUAAAUUGCGUUUGUGCUUGCACAAUAAGNCAUUUAUACUUAUUGACACGCCGAACAACGAGAACGGAAAUAAAUGGUGUGAACACACCAUUUUAUGGGGAGUCGAGGGUGUCGAGGGAUGUGAAAUUGCGUNAGCAUGAAGCAAUCUGGAUGCAUCA